GUUUACGUCACAUCCGGUUAAGGCGGCGUUUUCAUUCGCAUUACUGCCAGGGAGGCACUCAUUGCGUAAUUACAGCUUCUGCUCAUGAAUCCACUUUCAUCCUACUAACUAAUUUCAUCUGUUACGUUCUAUUACUUUUUAGAAGCACUUAGUAAGUUACGGUGCUUGAUUUAAGUUGUUAUAGGACGGUUGUAGUUGAUUUGUGAUGGCGUGUACUAUGUUUGCUGGCAACGUCAAAACGUGGCUUCAUUUUUUUUUUUUUUAAACCCCCCAAUCUUUCAAACUAUUUGUGUCGUGAGGUUCCACAAGAACAGCUAUUGUACAGACGGUUGAUACCAACAUGGAAUGGAUUGAAAAGGUGAAGCAAAGGCGGACCAUGCUCUUACCUUCUGACUGACGUGUCGGUGUGGGACAAAAUGGAGAAGAUCCGGGUUUGUAUUAGCAAAGACAUGAAAUAGCCUACAUUGAACCCCACUUUAUCACAGGGUUCCAUUACAGACCCACACACAAUUGGUGAAAAUCCGAAAUAUAGACACCAUAUAAACACAAAGACGCAAAGUGUGCUUAUUGCAUCAAGCUCAUUUGUCACUCCCAGUUAUAGUUUAACGCUAUAGACUGGCUGAGAGAGCGCAGAUGUUACGGAAACUUAUAAACGUUCGAUCAACGGCAACUUUAACACACAGCAGCAAUACAUACAAACGGCAUACGACAAUAUUCACAGACAUAUUGUCUAUGCUCUGUGGGAACAAUGCAACACAUGGUACAGUAUUACAAUGUGGGAAGUCCUCUUGGUCUUGCUCUUAAUUACACAGCAUCUCGACCUCAGUGUUGCUCAGCAUGUUGCAACAAAACGUGCUCCCACACUGAAAGCACACAUCUAAAUUCGGACUUACCCGUAUACUGUGAAAACCUAUAAAAAUACCACUCGCUUAUUAUAACGGGUCCAUGAGCAAUGAACCAUGAUAUAAGGGCGGAGCACAAUUUUUUUUUUCUCCCCAAUGUUGGCGGUGUUAAAUGUGUGACUUACGAACUAUAAUAAUGAUGGCUGCAGACCUUCCAGCGAGACUGAGCCCACACUGGUUCUGUACUUUCAUUGUGUCUGCUAGAGAGAGGUGAGGUUGUUUGAGGCUCUCCUAUGGCUAUACAUAGCAGGGUUAUAGGUAAACCUCCUACAAGCACUGUAGCAAUAACUCACCACCAAGUGCCAUUAAAAUCCCCCAAAAUAGAAGUUAAUGAAUCAAAACAACUGAUUUAACAUCGCACGAUAUGUUACAGAAUUGACAAUUUGGAGUGAAGGUCGACCACGCUCUUACCUCCUGACUGACGUGUGGGACUUGUGUAGAACUUGGAGAAGAUUCUGACCUUCCAGCGAGACUGAGCCCACACUGGUUCUGUACUUUCAUUGUGUCUGCUAGAGAGAUGUGAGGUUGUUUGAGGCUCUGCUAUGGCUACACAUGGCAGGGUUAUAGGUAAACCUCCUACAAGCACUGUAGUAAUAACUCCACCAAGCGCCAUUAAUAUUCCCAAAAAUAGAAGUUAAUGAAUUCAAACAACUGAUUUAACAUCACACCAUAUGUUCCAGGAUUGACAAUUUGGAGCAAAGGGCCGCCAUGUUCACACCUCCUGACUGACUUGUGUAGAACUUGGACAGAAUUUAGAUGAUUGAGGUUAGUAUUUGCCAAAAACAUGAAGUAGCAUGUUUUAAAAAUAAUAAUAAUUUAUUUAUUUUGCUAAUGCAAUGAUUCAGUUUCAGUUUAUUUUUGAAAGGGGACAAUGCAAUUUCAUAAAACACAUGGUUAAAAAAGCCAGAAUUAGCCAGAAGGCUAGUUUUCAUCUGUAGUCCCCUGGCCAUGAUGUAAAAAAGCAGUAAAAUACAUCUACAAGACAAUAUAAUACAGGAUACAUAAUCAAACUAUACUAUUAAGAGAGAAUAAAACCAUAUUUUCUUUGAUCAUAACAAAAAGACAACAUAACAUACUUGUCUUUUAGUGUUGGCAGCUAUAGGUGUUAACUAGCCACAUUUUCAAUUGAUUGAUUGAUGCAGGCCUUCCAUGGAGACUUAGCCUGCACUGGCUCUGUUCUUCCCUUAAGUAUCUGCUAGAAAGAUGCGAGUCUGAUUGAGGCAUAGCGGCGUUAUAGUUAAACCUCCUACAUAGUUUUAUAAACAGACAACUUCAUACUGCAGUUUGUGACAAUAGACAUGUUGCAAGUAAAAGUGCAAGUUAUAUUCAUGUACUGUAUAACAUAUUGGCCUAACUUCUUGUGACGCCACAAUAGCAACUGUAUGACGCUACAUCGCUUUUCUGCAGUUACCAAUAGCCUCAAUGAAAGUUAUGGAGUGUGGCGCCCUCUAGUGGCAAAUACAAAGCAGUGAAACAGUAACAUUCCAGUAAAUGGCUUGCGCUCAAGAGUUUAGAUGCCUUUAGUAUGAAUACAAAUGCACUAAAUGGUAACCACAGGCACAUUAUCAGGUUUACACAAAGCGUGCUUUGUACAAUCCUCCUACGACCUUUUUCCUUAACCGAUUUAAAAUGAUUGAAAAUAUUGCAUUAAGGAGUCGACUGUUGCAUAUAUAAUCAUGAUUAGAACACUGUUCUGUUCCAACUGAUUUAAUCACUGUCUUUUUCAUUUUCAGAAAAUGGUGCAACAGGCCUCGAGCAUCUAAAGGGACGCUACAUGGCAUUUGCUUUGUUGCCUGGAUGUCAAUUGGUCAUUUAAAUUGUUAAUGAACUUUACUGUAACCACUGUUGUUAAACUGAAUUUAUUUUAAUAGCAACAGUAUGUAAAUAUUCCAAAUCAAAAGGAGUUGCAGUACAUGAAUUGUGUCAACUAUGUAUAUGUUUGAAUUAAAUUUAUUUUAUUUUUUUUAAACAA